AAAGUACUCCCUCCGUCCCAAAAUUCUUGUCUUGCAUUUGUCUAGAUACAGAUGUAUCAAGUCACAUUUUAGUAUUAGAUACAUCCGUAUCUAGACAAAUCUAAGACAAGAAAUUUGGGACAGAGGGAGUAGUUG
rnacentral:pre_miRNA from 1 species